CAACCCCAGGAAACAAGAGCAGCCAGAAGAACAGGACAGUGCUGACCUUGUCUUUAUUAAUGUCAGGCUCAUUUAACAGCCAUUUAAUCAGUGGCUACAUAAUCAAUAGUUAACAAACACACACAUAUGAAACACAAACACACAAACCCGCUCCAGGUGCCUGUCUCAUCCCUGUGAUUUUUCCCUGAGGGGACAUUGGAGAAAGGUGGGAAUACUGCAGGAACGUUGUCGGGAACGAGGUGGGAAUACUGCAGGAACGUUGUUGGGAACGAGGUGGGAAUACUGCAGGAACGUUGUCGGGAACGAGGUGGGAAUACUGCAGGAACGUUGUUGGGAACGAGGUGGGAAUACUGCAGGAACGUUGUUGGGAACGAGGUGGGAAUACUGCAGGAACGUUGUUGGGAACGAGGUGGGAAUACUGCAGGAACGUUGUUGGGAACGAGGUGGGAAUACUGCAGGAACGUUGUUGGGAACGAGGUGGGAAUACUGCAGGAACGUUGUUGGGAACGAGGUGGGAAUACUGCAGGAACGUUGUUGGGAACGAGGUGGGAAUACUGCAGGAACGUUGUUGGGAACGAGGUGGGAAUACUGCAGGAACGUUGUUGGGAACGAGGUGGGAAUACUGCAGGAACGUUGUCGGGAACGAGGUGGGAAUACUGCAGGAACGUUGUCGGGAACGAGGCG